AUAGCUAUUGGCUCGCUUUUGCCCUCCGACCGUCUUUCCCAUUGGUUAAGAGAAUGAAGAUGAGAAUUUUGGGUCUGAUUUAGUUGUGAACCCCAAGAGGUCCGCAUAUUAAUUUAAAACAAACGCUAGGUACUAUAAUUAAAUUAAACGCGUUAAGCGAAAGAUAGGAGGAGGGAAUUUGGGGGUUUCAGGGAAAUCAAGACACGCCUAUCAAAUGUGAGGGCAACAUCGCUUCACCUGAUAGGAAAUGUAGUUUUGCCGUCAUUAUUUAUUUUAAUUAUAACACAUUGCCUGUGUAAAACGGGCCUUUUUGUGUUAUACAGUGUGUUCACAGUCUUCGAGAAAUGUGUAAGUUGGUUACCUGAGAGAAAAUACAUAUGGGUAUCAGAUCCGCCAAUAUUAGACGUACAAUCAAAUGCAUUUCCACCCCGGCUGUAUUUUUCAUAUGUUCAGCUUUUCAGAUGACUGGACUGUGGUGUUCCUACUUUCAAGUGUGGAGGGACAAGGAACGGGAGGGCAUCAAGACCUCAAUUCACAACUCUAAAAAUAAGUAAGUGUAAAUAAUAAUGCUAUAAAAAAAACAAAACAAAAUAAAUAAUAGCAUCAAAUAAAUAACUAACAUAAAUAAAUAAAUACAUAAAUAAAUAACAAAUAACCAUGAACCAAAUGGGUAAAAAAAAAAAGGAAAAGAAAGAGGACAGAAGUUCUAAGGACCCUCCACUUGGACUCCAUAGUAUCUAAUGAAAUGACAUUGGUCGAUGCAUGCAUGGAAGUCUGGAGAUGUAGUGGACCAUCAUGGCACUGCCAUCAGUUCUUGGACUUGAGGGUCAGGAGGGCUCGAGACGCCCAAUCACAGAAGAGACGGAACUGCUGAAGCACCUCCAGAGAGGACUGCACCAUGUCCCAGGCACCGGAGAGGGGUGGGAGGGAAGGCGUGGGGGACGGCAGCCACUGUGCGUCCACCUUCAACACCUAGGAGGAAGAGGAAGACAGGUGAGAACGUGAUUGGCAUCUGCAAUGCAAUGUGGCAGGGUUGCUUUGCGGAUAAAAGUCGACGCAUGCGGUGUGAAAAUUCAAAAUGCGUUGCAGGCUUCGAAAUAACCAGCGAUGAGAUAAAUUCCUACCUGACGUUGGAGGAAGGCACGAAAUGUCUUGAUAUGUGAAGUCAACUCUCUUAAUUUGGACAAGUUGAACGAGGCGGCGUGUACGUGUUUCCAUGUCGGCCGGGUGAGCCAUUCAAAGUGGAGUUCGAAGGACUGGAGGUCCACGAGAAGCUGUGGUAAAGUUUCCUUAAGCUAAAGGAAAAUAAAAGGAGCAAAAAAAAGGGUUAAUAAAGCCAGUAAACAAAAGUGUAUACUGUAAAACAGACUGUUUUAAGAAAGGCUGGAGUUGAUACAAGCAUGAUUGAAUGUAGAGGACAUUAUAGGUGAACACUGACAGUGAGAUGGAUGGCCAAAGAGAGAAGUGAAUUAAACUGGUACCUUUAGGGAACUGAGAUCACUUGCUUUGUUGGUCAUAGCUGGGAGGGAUUUUAAUCUGUGCUCAAUAUCUGUGUUAAUCACAUGGUCUUUCUGGAAGAAAAGAUGUGCAUCAUUAGUAUAUAGACAAAAAAAUGUAUACCAUGUAGUCAUAUGGUGAGAACAUAUGUGCCCUCCUUUAAAACAUUUUUUGUAAUGUAAUGUUGUUCUGUAAGUAAAAACUCAAAACUGCAAAAAAAUACUCCAAAGUUGACUGGGAGUUGAAGAGGACAAGUUCACACAAAUUCCACUUUAAAGGUUAACAAUAAAAGUUAGUGACCUGAAACCACAGGAUGUUUUUGAAAAGAGCAUAACAACAUAUCCAGUGACUAAGAGUAGAACAUGGAAUAGACAACACAGAACUGAAGGGAAACUCCAGGGUCAGGGCUAAAAAAAACCUCAAUUACGUAUUGCGCUUGAAAACUAGCUGCACUUGUCGAAAUAACCACUAGAGAGAGACAAAAAAAAACUCAAACAAUAAUGAUAUUACAGUAGUAGAAAAGGUGGAGAAAUUCCAAACACAAAAAAUUAAAGAACAUUUAAAAGCUGAUAUGUUAAAAAUGCAUUUAUCAAUUUAUUGUUGUUAGUAAAUGUAUUCUCCAGUGGAUAGUAUUGCAGAUUUAUUAUCACUGGAAUUUAUUUAUCUCAUAAAUUAAAUAUGAAUAAUUCAUUUAUAUGCUCAGGCAACCAAUGUAUUGAGCUUCACUGAGGAAGUAAACUACAAUAGUAUGUGUCCCUCUUGCAGAUAUACCCUGUUCAUUUUUACAUACUCUGCUUAGUCCAUUUCCUUUUUAAUUCCUAAUUGCUGUAAGUAUUCUUCAUGAAUGAAGACAAUAGCAUAUGCUAAAGGUGAAGUUAUGCAAGCCAAAUGCACAACAAUAAAAUUGUAGUUUUAUGCAUUUGACAUUAAUAAAGAACUUAACAAAAUUGUACAAGCUAAGUUAAAAACAAUGUUCUGACUAUUCCAAUAAAUAUAAUAACUAAA